AUGAGAAUUCUAAGGUGAGCGAGCGAACUCUCGUUAAGGAACUCGGCAAAAUGACCCCGUAACUUCGGGAGAAGGGGUGCUCUUUAGGGUUAACGCCCAGAAGAGCCGCAGUGAAUAGGCCCAAGCGACUGUUUAUCAAAAACACAGGUCUCUGCUAAACCGUAAGGUGAUGUAUAGGGGCUGACGCCUGCCCGGUGCUGGAAGGUUAAGAGGAGUGGUUAGCUUCUGCGAAGCUACGAAUCGAAGCCCCAGUAAACGGCGGCCGUAACUAUAACGGUCCUAAGGUAGCGAAAUUCCUUGUCGGGUAAGUUCCGACCCGCACGAAAGGCGUAACGAUUUGGGCACUGUCUCAACGAGAGACUCGGUGAAAUCAUAGUACCUGUGAAGAUGCAGGUUACCCGCGACAGGACGGAAAGACCCCGUGGAGCUUUACUGUAGCCUGAUAUUGAAAUUCGGCACAGCUUGUACAGGAUAGGUA
rnacentral:rRNA from 1 species